GUGAAUCAUCGAAUUUUUGAACGCAAAUUGCGCUUCCUGGCAUCCCGGGGAGUAUGCCUGUUUGAGGGUCAGUAUUAAUAAAAAAUCGUGUUGGUGACAAAUUGUGAGGUUUCCGGAGGGUUGGCGAUCGUAACAUUUUUGGUUAAGAGGCUUAAAAUUGAGCUUGUUUUCUCAUUUUUGUACUUACAUGAAUUUUUUUUAGUCUUCUAUUCUGAAUGCCAAAUUCUUAUUUGAUGCUGUCAC
rnacentral:misc_RNA from 1 species